rnacentral:lncRNA from 1 species
CGGUAACUUUAGUUUCUAUUCUUGAUUGGAAAAGUAGUCUUCGGGAGUUCAUUCGUGUAAUCCCCUACUCCCACGAUAACUUUAGUUUCUAGCACAUGCAAAGCAUGUGCUGGUCUUAAGGAAAUCUUUUUUUUUUGGUUCUCCUUUCCACCACUUUAAGAUUCAUGCAGUGAGUUUAAUCUGAGUUGGGGUAUUACAGGCCAGCUUAGUCAUUUUCCCAAAG